GGGGUAUAAAGCAUCUAUGCUUCUUCCAUUCCAUCAGACCAUUAACAGAUCUGAACAAAAACAUGUGACAUUUCGACAGACAAAUACAGCUGAAAUCAGACAGUUCCACUUAUCUGAUGUUAUGGAUUUGCAGUCUAUGGAGACAGUUGUUGAGUCGCUAAAUGAGGGAAUAGUCUCUAUCUGUAACAUCUACAAGUCUCUCUUGGAUGCACAAGUUGAUCCCACCACUGGCAUGUGCU